rnacentral:rRNA from 1 species
AGCUCCAAUAGCGUAUAUUAAAGUUGUUGCAGUUAAAAAGCUCGUAGUCGGACUUCGGGCGCGUCGCACGACUCGGCCACUGGUCGUGCUUGUGCGGAGCGCCUUCCUUCCAGCGAGUGCGUGGGCUCUUUACUGGGUUUGCGCAGGAGUUGGGAUGUUUACUGUGAACAAAUUAGAGUGUUCAAAGCAGGCCAAUGCUGUGAAUACAUUAGCAUGGAAUAAUAGAAUAGGACUUUGGUUUUAUUUUGUUGGUUUCUGAGACCGAAGUAAUGACUAAUAGGGAUAGUUGGGGGCACUCGUAUUUCAUUGUCAGAGGUGAAAUUCUUGGAUUUAUGAAAGACGAACAGCUGCGAAAGCGUUUGCCAAGGAUGUUUUCA